rnacentral:rRNA from 1 species
GUACGAGAGGACCGGAGUGGACGCAUCACUGGUGUUCGGGUUGUCAUGCCAAUGGCACUGCCCGGUAGCUAAAUGCGGAAGAGAUAAGUGCUGAAAGCAUCUAAGCACGAAACUUGCCCCGAGAUGAGUUCUCCCUGAGACUUUAAGUCUCCUGAAGGAACGUUAAAGACGAUGACGUUGAUAGGCCGGGUGUGUAAGCGCAGCGAUGCGUUGAGCUAACCGGUACUAAUGAACCGUGAGGCUUAACCUU